rnacentral:rRNA from 1 species
CCUACGGGUGGCAGCAGUGAGGAAUAUUGGUCAAUGGGCGUAAGCCUGAACCAGCCAAGUCGCGUGAGGGAUGAAGGUUCUAUGGAUCGUAAACCUCUUUUAUAAGGGAAUAAAGUGUGGGACGUGUCCUAUUUUGUAUGUACCUUAUGAAUAAGGCUCGGCUAACUCCGUGCCAGCAGCCGCGGUAAUACGGCGGAUCCGAGCGUUAUCCGGAUUUAUUGGGUUUAAAGGGUGCGUAGGCGGCCUUUUAAGUCAGCGGUGAAAGUCUGUGGCUCAACCAACGAAUUGCCGUUGAAACUGGGGGGCUUGAGUAUGUGUGAGGCAGGCGGAAUGCGUGGUGUAGCGGUGAAAUGCUUAGAUAUCACGCAGAACCCCGAUUGCGAAGGCAGCCUGCCAAGCCAUGACUGACGCUGAUGCACGAAAGCGUGGGGAUCAAACAGGAUUAGAUACCCCUGUAGUC